rnacentral:rRNA from 1 species
GACGAACGCUGGCGGCGUGCUUAACACAUGCAAGUCGAACGGAAAGGCCCUGCUUGCAGGGUACUCGAGUGGCGAACGGGUGAGUAACACGUGGGUGAUCUGCCCUGCACUUCGGGAUAAGCCUGGGAAACUGGGUCUAAUACCGGAUAGGAGCCAUUUUUAGUGUGAUGGUUGGAAAGUUUUUUCGGUGUAGGAUGAGCUCGCGGCCUAUCAGCUUGUUGGUGGGGUAAUGGCCUACCAAGGCGGCGACGGGUAGCCGGCCUGAGAGGGUGGACGGCCACAUUGGGACUGAGAUACGGCCCAGACUCCUACGGGAGGCGGCAGUGGGGAAUAUUGCACAAUGGGCGCAAGCCUGAUGCAGCGACGCCGCGUGGGGGAUGACGGCCUUCGGGUUGUAAACUCCUUUCGCUAGGGACGAAGCUUUUGUGACGGUACCUAGAGAAGAAGCACCGGCUAACUACGUG